rnacentral:rRNA from 1 species
CGGCGUGCUUAACACAUGCAAGUCGAACGGAAAGGCCCUUCGGGGUACUCGAGUGGCGAACGGGUGAGUAACACGUGGGUGAUCUGCCCUGCACUCUGGGAUAAGCCUGGGAAACUGGGUCUAAUACCGGAUAGGACCACACACUUCAUGGUGAGUGGUGCAAAGCUUUUGCGGUGUGGGAUGAGCCCGCGGCCUAUCAGCUUGUUGGUGGGGUAAUGGCCCACCAAGGCGACGACGGGUAGCCGGCCUGAGAGGGUGACCGGCCACACUGGGACUGAGAUACGGCCCAGACUCCUACGGGAGGCAGCAGUGGGGAAUAUUGCACAAUGGGCGCAAGCCUGAUGCAGCGACGCCGCGUGAGGGAUGACGGCCUUCGGGUUGUAAACCUCUUUCAGUAGGGACGAAGCGAAAGUGACGGUACCUACAGAAGAAGGACCGGCCAACUACGUGCCAGCAGCCGCGGUAAUACGUAGGGUCCGAGCGUUGUCCGGAAUUACUGGGCGUAAAGAGCUCGUAGGUGGUUUGUCGCGUUGUUCGUGAAAACUCACAGCUUAACUGUGGGCGUGCGGGCGAUACGGGCAGACUAGAGUACUGCAGGGGAGACUGGAAUUCCUGGUGUAGCGGUGGAAUGCGCAGAUAUCAGGAGGAACACCGGUGGCGAAGGCGGGUCUCUGGGCAGUAACUGACGCUGAGGAGCGAAAGCGUGGGUAGCGAACAAAAUUAGAUACCCUGGUAGUCCACGCCGUAAACGGGCCUAAAAGGUGUGGGUUUCCCUUUCUUGGGGAUCCCGUGCCGUAGCUAACGCAUUAAGUACCCCGCCUGGGGGAGUACGGUCGCAAGACUAAAACUCAAAGGAAUUGACGGGGGCCCGCACAAGCGGCGGAGCAUGUGGAUUAAUUCGAUGCAACGCGAAGAACCUUACCUGGGUUUGACAUGCACAGGACGUACCUAGAGAUAGGUAUUCCCUUGUGGCCUGUGUGCAGGUGGUGCAUGGCUGUCGUCAGCUCGUGUCGUGAGAUGUUGGGUUAAGUCCCGCAACGAGCGCAACCCUUGUCCUAUGUUGCCAGCGGGUAAUGCCGGGGACUCGUAGGAGACUGCCGGGGUCAACUCGGAGGAAGGUGGGGAUGACGUCAAGUCAUCAUGCCCCUUAUGUCCAGGGCUUCACACAUGCUACAAUGGCCAGUACAGAGGGCUGCGAAGCCGCAAGGUGGAGCGAAUCCCUUAAAGCUGGUCUCAGUUCGGAUUGGGGUCUGCAACUCGACCCCAUGAAGUCGGAGUCGCUAGUAAUCGCAGAUCAGCAACGCUGCGGUGAAUACGUUCCCGGGCCUUGUACACACCGCCCGUCACGUCAUGAAAGUCGGUAACACCCGAAGCCAGUGGCCUAACCUUUUGGAGGGAGCUGUCGAAGGUGGGAUCGGCGAUUGGGACGAAG